rnacentral:rRNA from 1 species
AUUGAACGCUGGCGGCAGGCUUAACACAUGCAAGUCGAGCGGAGAUGAGGUGCUUGCACCUUAUCUUAGCGGCGGACGGGUGAGUAAUGCUUAGGAAUCUGCCUAUUAGUGUGGGACAACAUUCCGAAAGGAAUGCUAAUACCGCAUACGUCCUACGGGAGAAAGCAGGGGAUCUUCGGACCUGCGCUAAUAGAUGAGCUUAGGUCGGAUUAGCUAGUUGGUGGGGUAAAGGCCUACCAAGGCGACGAUCUGUAGCGGGUCUGAGAGGAUGAUCCGCCACACUGGGACUGAGAUACGGCCCAGACUCCUACGGGAGGCAGCGGUGGGGAAUAUUGGACAAUGGGGGGAACCCUGAUCCAGCCAUGCCGCGUGUGUGAAGAAGGCCUUAUGGUUGUAAAGCACUUUAAGCGAGGAGGAGGCUACUGAGACUAAUACUCUUGGAUAGUGGACGUUACUCGCAGAAUAAGCACCGGCUAACUCUGUGCCAGCAGCCGCGGUAA